rnacentral:lncRNA from 8 species
AUGAAAAGCGAGGACCAGAGUGGACAGACCAAGCUUAAUGUCCAGAAUAAGACCAAGAGGGAGGAGGAUGCAGCUCCGGUCCCUGUGUCUGACUCCACCAGAGAACCACCAGAGACCAGGAUGUCAAAGAAGAAGACUUUCCCCAGACCACCUGUCACACAGGAUGCAGAGAAGUUUCAUGAUGGCCCAACUGACACCAGUAGGGAGGAGGAUGCAGCUCCGGUCCCUGUGUCUGACUCCACCAGAGAACCACCAGAGACCAGGAUGUCAAAGAAGAAGACUUUCCCCAGACCACCUGUCACACAGGAUGCAGAGAAGUUUCAUGAUGGCCCAACUGACACCAGUAGGCAAGUAUCAAACAUUCUAAAUGCUCAGUUCUCGUUUUUUGUUAUAAAAAAAUCGUAUUAACACACCUGACAUGCAUCUAAACCCAUUUCCAUUGUUUUAGCCCCAAUAUCACCCCAAAGAGAAUGUGCCUUUUCCCAACCCUGUGAGUAACAGAGUCACACAAUUGAAUUAAAUGAACAAUUCAUGAUUUGUGAGUGUGAC